GGGUGCACGUGAUGCUGGUCGGGAAGGGUCGGCUGAUCGCUGCCGGAAUGCAGAGCGAGUUCUAGGGAAAUACAGAGUCUCCUGGGAAUAGGGUGGCUGCUGAGCUGCCUUGAGGAAUAGCGGUGUUAUUCUCUUUUUCUUUGGGCCCUGCCUGUUUAAACUGAGCCCCUUACGAAAAGGACGUGGCGUGGGCAGAUGGGCCCAGCCUCCCGCCCUCUCCGUGACUCAGGGAAACGGCCUCCUUGCAGAGCGCUUUCUUGGCAGCCGGCUGCAGUACUCCUCCCCCGCCUACUUUAAUACCGUGGGUGGUUUCUUACGUCUCUGGGAGGGGGAAUGAAAUGGGGUUUAAGAUCCUCCCUGCCCUUAUGCACAACCCUUCUGACGCUUGGAGAUGCUGACGCUUGGAUUCUAACUAGAACUAGCAAUUUCUUUUGCAUAUUACCUAAAUAACUGGCUCAAAGGACAGUGAAGGCCAUUUAUGAGGUGUCUCAGCUGGCCUUGAGAUAGCUUCUUAUAUUUCUGCGGACAUUUUGGAGGACAUGAUGAGAGAAGAAUCUUUGGAAGGUAAGAGAGGAGACAGAAGGCUGUUAUGCAAAGGAUAAGAGUGAAUAUUUAUGAGAGAGCACACACAAGGGAGCACAAGCAUGGGGAGCAG